AAUAGAUACCCGGGUAGUCCACGCCGUAAACGAUGGAUACUAGCUGUCAGAGGUAUCGACCCCUCUGGUAGCGAAGCUAACGCGUUAAGUAUCCCGCCUGUGGAGUACGGCCGCAAGGCUAAAACAUAAAGGAAUUGACGGGGACCCGCACAAGCGGUGGAUCAUGUUCUUUAAUUCGAUGAUAAACGAUAAACCUUACCAGGGCUUGACAUCCCGAGAAUUACUCCGAAAGGAGUGAGUGCUUUAUUGAACUCGGUGACAGAUCCUGCAUGGCCGUCGUCAGCUCGUGUCGUGAGAUGUUUGGUUAAGUCCAUCAACGAGCGCAACCCUUGUGAAUAGUCGUAUUUUUCUAUUCAGACUGCCCCGGCAACGGGGAGGAAGGAGGGGAUGAUGUCAGGUCAGUAUUAGUCUUACGUCCUGGGCUAGAAACGUGAUACAAUGGCCGGUACAAUGCGUAGCGAAGCAGUAAUGUGAAGCAAAUCGUAUCAAAGCCGGUCCCAGUUCGGAUUGGGGGCUGAAACUCGCCCCAUGAAGUCGG
rnacentral:rRNA from 1 species